rnacentral:lncRNA from 1 species
GCGCUGGCAGUGAAGGCGCUGGCGAACGUGAUGCAGGCACCAAUCAUAAAGACAGCUUAGAACUCCGAAAGCUUUCUACAUGCCCAGAAAGUUUCAGGAAGCAGUGAAGUCAGCCUGAAGUUUUUGUGCUGCCUGAAAACGCCAUCGGAAUAUUGGAGCAUGCACAAAUUCCCCAAUCACGAUGUUGUCAUAUACUGCACAUCGUUUUUCACCUCGAAAGGAGAAGUCAAGUCAGAAAAGGUCGUCAUGUUUUUUUCACUCGUCAUCCGGCCCCAACUGCAAGAUAUUUGCCAGAGGUGUUUUGCUGAGCGAAUGUCAAGUAAUGACUGAAAAGGAUGCGGAGGCAGUGCUUCAGCAGACCAACUCUGUGCACCUGUGUACAGGCGCAAUGAGGCAGGCGGACUACCAAGAAUCGCUGCUGACAGAAAAGUUAAAAACAAAAGUCCUAAUGCGCCAUGGAGUGUAUUUCAGCAGCAACUGCAAUGGUGCAGUUUCCAAGCAAGGUGUGCAGUGCAUUUCAUGCAAGUAUCUGAGGCAAGCAUUGCUCAUGCAUAAAUGAAGUAUUAAACGCAGCACCACAAAGACCAGCCGUGCUGCUUCACGGAAACUUAAAGCUGCAAUCCAGAAGAACCGGAGGCUUCUGACUCGUCUCGGCAAUGCCAGUGAGCAAAUUUUGAAGCUGCAGAAGAUGGACUCCGUCAUCAAAGCGGAGGUCCUUGAGGAAAGUAUUGCAAGCCUUCCCCCGCAACAGCAGGAAGCUGUCAGGCAGUGCUUUUCAGCAUGUAAAGUGAAGCCCAACGGCUUGCGAUACAGCAAGAGUUGGGUGCUUGACUGUAUCAUGAUGAAAAUGAAGAGCCCUCGCCUCUACGAACACCUUCGAAGGAACAAAAUUUUGUCCCUUCCGAGUAAAGCAACGCUUAAAAGGUAUAUGUCAUCAUACCGCACAGCUUUCGGCUUCAGUGAAAAAGUUCUGCAGAAAGUGAAGACAAAAGCAACAAACCUUGACAGCUGCAAAAGGCAUGGAGGCCUGGUAAUCUACGAAUUGAAACUUUCGGAACACCUGUCUGUUAAGAACUCUGGCAUUGUGGAGGGCUUUGUAGAUCUCGGGCCCUUCACGACAACAAAAGAUAUGCAAAUACCAUCUGAUCAUGGCAUGGUAAUUCUCUUUGUGCCGUUCCAAGGGAAAUGGAGCCAAAUUAUUGGCUAUUUCACUACAAAUGGGAAUAUGAAAGGUGAUACUCUGGCUAAAGUUGUGACAGAGGCUACGAUACUAGCCGAGAAGAGUGGUCUCUUUGUGGACUUUAUUACCACGGAUGGUGCUGCUUGGAAUCGCAAGACGUGGAAAAUCAUGGGAAUGCAGGCAACUCCAAAGACGACCACCUGUAAAGUGCAACGUCCUGUUGAUUCAGACUGACAUUUAUUUUUUGUCUCAUACUUUCCACAUCUCAUAAAAUGCCUCCGGAACUCCCUCUUGAAAUGUGGAUUCAACACUCCAGCUGGUCAUGUUACUAUGCAGCAUGUGAAGGAAGCCUUCAAAAUAGACUCGUGCAACGUGACCCUUAAAGCCAUGCCAAGGAUCACACGAUGCCACCUAGAACCGAACGGGUUCGAGAAAAUGCGCUACCUACGCCUUUCAACUCUUUGGGACAAGGGUCCUACAAGCCCUUCAUCUGUACCAAGAAAAGCUAUGCAAGAUAUUUGGCAACAUAACCGCCACCCAGCAUUUCUUCAGCAAGAUUCAUCAUCUGAUCACCCUAAUGACGUCAAGGCAUCCCGGAGAAACCCUGUGACCACAUUCUUCUCAAGCAACAGAGCUCAAGGAAUUUUUGUUGUACUUGAAUCAAUGGGAGAAGCAUGCGAAUGGCAAAGGGGGAUUCAUAAGUGAUUCUACAGCGACAGGGUUACGCGUCGCCAUAUCAAGCACACUCUAAUUGCUUGCCUACUCAACUGAGAAGGUUGGGUAUAAGUAUCUGAUGACUUCAAGAAUUAGCUAAGAUAAACUUGAGAACCUUUUUGGAAUUGAGACAAGUCUCUGGCAGCAGUGACCACCCUACGCUGUCCCAGUUCUUGGUCAUUGUAAGCUGUCUCUCCUUUUAUGGCCUCGUGAAAGCAAUCAGCCAUGGGAACUGUGAAGCGGAUACACUGGCCUCAUUGCUAGAAAUCAGCUCAGGUGAUGAUAUGCAACCCGACAACCCUGACCGUCCCAGCCUUGAUGCAACCAGCUCGGCAGCACAGACAUGUUUGCCAGCACCAGCAUCUGUGUCUGACCACAAACAGCAUG